GAACGCCAUAGCUGUCUUAUGUGUCUUUUUUAUUGCUUUUCUAUUAUACGAAGGUGCUUUUCUAUUAUACGAUAGUGGUUUUCUAUUAUACGAAGGUGCUUUUCUAUUAUACGAAGGUAGUUUUCUAUUAUACGAAGGUGCUUUUCUAUUAUACGAUGGUGGUUUUCUAUUAUACGAAGGUGGUUUUCUAUUAUACGAAGAUGCUUUUCUAUUAUACGAUGGUGCUUUUCUAUUAUACGAUGGUGCUUUUCUAUUAUACGAUGGUGCUUUUUUAUUAUAAUAAGGUGCUUUUUUAUUAUGUGAUGGUGGUUUCCGUGAUUAACCGGAAGCGUGGCGUGUAUUUGAAUGUCAUAGCUGUCUUGUGUGUCUUUUUUAUUGCUUUUCUAUUAUACGAAGGUGCUUUUCUAUUAUACGAUGGUGGUUUUCUAUUAUACGAAUGUGCUUUUCUAUUAUACGAAGGUGCUUUUCUAUUAUACGAUGGUGGUUUUCUAUUAUACGAAGGUGCUUUUCUAUUAUACGAAGGUAGUUUUCUAUUAUACGAAGGUGCUUUUCUAUUAUACGAUGGUGGUUUUCUAUUAUACGAUGGUGGUUUUCUAUUAUACGAAGGUGCUUUUCUUUUAUACGAUGGUGGUUUUCUAUUAUACGAAGGUGGUUUUCUAUUAUACGAUGGUGCUUUUCUAUUAUACGAUGGUGCUUUUCUAUUAUACGAUGGUGCUUUUUUAUUAUAAUAAGGUGCUUUUUUAUUAUGUGA